UACGUAGGGUGCGAGCGUUGUCCGGAAUUAUUGGGCGUAAAGAGCUUGUAGGCGGUCUGUCGCGUCUGCUGUGAAAAUCCGGGGCUCAACCCCGGACUUGCAGUGGGUACGGGCAGACUAGAGUGUGGUAGGGGAGACUGGAAUUCCUGGUGUAGCGGUGAAAUGCGCAGAUAUCAGGAGGAACACCGGUGCGAAGGCGGGUCUCUGGGCCGAUACUGACGCUGAGGAGCGAAAGCGUGGGGAGCGAACAGG
rnacentral:rRNA from 1 species